GGAGCCUACGCCCGCGCGGGCCGCUGAGCGGAGUCCUCUGGGUGGGACCGUCGGUGACCUGGGUGACCUCCCCGUUGGUUCCCUAGAGUGGCUGGGGACGUGGUCUACUUACUAACCCAACCUCAAACCGCCUCGCCUCGACUCUGGCGGUAACUCCCUCCUCCAGCAGCUAAAGGGCCAUUUCCGAUCUAGAGCCGGGUUUCUCCGAGGGCUCUUCCGUGGCGGAACUGAACGAAGGGGGUGGUCAGUUGGAAAGAUCUUCAACCAACCAGGCGUCAGUCUCGUGCCCACAGUCCGUGAGACAAGUGCUCGGAGUUUUCUCCCCCAACCCCGCCCCAGGUCCCGCAGUGCCCGCGAAGCCUGAUCGCGCUCGGCCUGGGGACAAUGAACACGUGCAAGACCUGGUUGGGCUGCCUCGGACUCCGGGGGCAGAAAGAUUUCACAACGGUCGAGAGGGAGGAGCGCCCCAACCUCGUCACUUCUAAGAAGGCCCAGGCCAGCCAGGGUCGCGAGGGGAAGCGGGAAGAGACGCCUAGAAACCCGAAAGACGGAAGGCUUCGGCCACGCCCCGCGCACGCGCGGCACACUCUUCCCUUGCGUGGCUGUGGCCGAGCGGCUUCCUCCGCCGGCUGCCGGAUCUAGCUCGCCGGUCUUUUCCGUCUGCCCGCUUUCUGUCCCUGCGCAGUCGCGUCGUCGCCCGCCACUCCCUUCGCCCCUCCCUCCGCAGCGCCGGCCUCUUGUGACGUCAGCGGCAGACCCCGCCUUCUUAGUCCUAAUCUGAUGCCAAGUGCAGGGCGUGCCGGGUAUGGAGGUCGCCGGCUUCUCCUCAGGCCUGAACCUCUCUUGGAAAGGAAACCUCUUUUGUAAUUUCCUAAAACUUCGAAUUAAGCCUGUAAACUGUGUUCGUUUCCUAAUAAGGGUGAAAACGGCCCCUCACCCUAGUUGAUCUUCCAAGCUAGAAGUUCUAUUAAAAGGAAACUGCAAAA